rnacentral:rRNA from 1 species
CAAUAGCGUAUAUUAAAGUUGUUGCGGUUAAAAAGCUCGUAGUUGGAUUUCUGCUGAGAACGACCGGUCCGCCCUCUGGGUGUGUAUCUGGCUCUUUCUUGGCAUCUUCUUGGUGAACGUUGCUGCACUUGACUGUGUGGAGCGCUACCCAGGACUUUUACUUUGAGGAAAUUAGAGUGUUUCAAGCAGGCAUACGCCUUGAAUACAUUAGCAUGGAAUAAUAAGAUAGGACCUCGGUUCUAUUUUGUUGGUUUCUAGAGCUGAGGUAAUGAUUAAUAGGGAUAGUUGGGGGCAUUCGUAUUUAACUGUCAGAGGUGAAAUUCUUGGAUUUGUUAAAGACGGACUGCUGCGAAAGCAUUUGCCAAGGAUGUUUNCAUUG